GGGUUGUGAGGUUAAGCGACUAAGCGUACACGGUGGAUGCCCUGGCAGUCAGAGGCGAUGAAGGGCGUGCUAAUCUGCGAUAAGCGCCGGUAAGGUGAUAUGAACCGUUAUAACCGGCGAUACCCGAAUGGGGAAACCCAGUGUGAUUCGUCACACUAUCAUUAACUGAAUCCAUAGGUUAAUGAGGCGAACCGGGGGAACUGAAACAUCUAAGUACCCCGAGGAAAAGAAAUCAACCGAGAUUCCCCCAGUAGCGGCGAGCGAACGGGGAGGAGCCCAGAGCCUGAAUCAGCAUGUGUGUUAGUGGAAGCGUCUGGAAAGGCGCGCGAUACAGGGUGACAGCCCCGUACACAAAAGCGCAUGUGCUGUGAGCUCGAUGAGUAGGGCGGGACACGUGGUAUCCUGUCUGAAUAUGGGGGGACCAUCCUCCAAGGCUAAAUACUCCUGACUGACCGAUAGUGAACCAGUACCGUGAGGGAAAGGCGAAAAGAACCCCGGCGAGGGGAGUGAAAAAGAACCUGAAACCGUGUACGUACAAGCAGUGGGAGCACCCUUCGGGGUGUGACUGCGUACCUUUUGUAUAAUGGGUCAGCGACUUAUAUUCUGUAGCAAGGUUAACCGUAUAGGGGAGCCGGAGGGAAACCGAGUCUUAACCGGGCGUUAAGUUGCAGGGUAUAGACCCGAAACCCGGUGAUCUAGCCAUGGGCAGGUUGAAGGUUGGGUAACACUAACUGGAGGACCGAACCGACUAAUGUUGAAAAAUUAGCGGAUGACCUGUGGCUGGGGGUGAAAGGCCAAUCAAACCGGGAGAUAGCUGGUUCUCCCCGAAAGCUAUUUAGGUAGCGCCUCGUGAAUUCAUCUCCGGGGGUAGAGCACUGUUUCGGCUAGGGGGCCAUCCCGGCUUACCAACCCGAUGCAAACUGCGAAUACCGGAGAAUGUUAUCACGGGAGACACACGGCGGGUGCUAACGUCCGUCGUGAAGAGGGAAACAACCCAGACCGCCAGCUAAGGUCCCAAAGUCAUGGUUAAGUGGGAAACGAUGUGGGAAGGCCCAGACAGCCAGGAUGUUGGCUUAGAAGGCAGCCAUCAUUUA
rnacentral:rRNA from 1 species